rnacentral:rRNA from 1 species
CAGCCGUAAACUAUGCGCGUUAGGUGUAUCGGUGACCACGAGUUACCGAGGUGCCGAAGGGAAACCGUGAAACGUGCCGCCUGGGAAGUACGGUCGCAAGGCUGAAACUUAAAGGAAUUGGCGGGGGAGUACCACAACGGGUGGAGCCUGCGGUUUAAUUGGACUCAACGCCGGGAAGCUCACCGGAUAAGACAGCGGAAUGAUUGCCGGGCUGAAGACUCUGCAUGACUAGCUGAGAGGAGGUGCAUGGCGUAGACGUCU